GGAUGAACGCUAGCGGCAGGCCUAAUACAUGCAAGUCGAACGAUAGAAGAGGGCUUGCUCUCUUCGAAAGUGGCGCACGGGUGCGUAACGCGUAUGCAACCUACCUUAAUCAGGGGGAUAGCCCGAAGAAAUUCGGAUUAACACCGCAUAAAAUCACAGCUCAGCAUUGAGUAAUGAUCAAAUAUUUAUAGGAAUAAGAUGGGCAUGCGUGUCAUUAGCUAGUUGGCGGGGUAACGGCCCACCAAGGCGACGAUGACUAGGGGAUUUGAGAGGAUGACCCCCCACACUGGUACUGAGACACGGACCAGACUCCUACGGGAGGCAGCAGUAAGGAAUAUUGGUCAAUGGAGGCAACUCUGAACCAGCCAUGCCGCGUGCAGGAAGACAGCCCUCUGGGUCGUAAACUGCUUUUAUUCGGGAAUAAACCUUUCUACGUGUAGAGAGCUGAAUGUACCGAAGGAAUAAGGAUCGGCUAACUCCGUGCCAGCAGCCGCGGUAAUACGGAGGAUCCAAGCGUUAUCCGGAUUUAUUGGGUUUAAAGGGUGCGUAGGCGGCUUAUUAAGUCAGGGGUGAAAGACGGUGGCUCAACCAUCGCAGUGCCUUUGAUACUGAUGAGCUUGAAUGAACUAGAGGUAGGCGGAAUGUGACAA
rnacentral:rRNA from 1 species